UUGAUAGAAACCAAAAUAGAGGUAUAUCACUGUUAAUGAUAAAAUUGAAUUUUUAAUUUUCCUAUCAAG
rnacentral:tRNA from 1 species